UGCCUGUCGCCGAGCCUGGCAUCUCCGAGCCCCCGCGCGGGGGGCUGCCGCCCAGCGCUGAUUGACAGCCCGCCUCGCCAAUGCCUGGAGGGAGAAAGGAGGUACAGAUAUGCAACAAUAACUAUAUGGAGAUGUAUAUUAGACUCCUGGAGCUGAAUAUCACUGUGCAGAAGAUGGCUGAUGGUUUGAGUAUGGACGAGUGAAGACAUGGGACAGAAGCCCAGCCAGUCAGACAGCCUCAGAGGAUGCAGAACAGCCUGGGAACAGAGAGGAGGCUCAAGACAAUGAAAACCGAUACCACGGGAGGAAGCACUUCUGAAGGAGAAAUGGAUUCAGUUCCAACAGGCUUGGAGACAUUUAGCAAAAUAUAAAUAAAAAGAUAAGAC
rnacentral:lncRNA from 1 species